UUAGUCUGGCGGCCGCCGAGGAAAUCCGCCUCCACCUGCUUGGAUUAGUCAAUUAAACGCCGUCACCCUGAGGCGGAGCCACGGGAGAUCCCGUAACUGCUUGCAUUACUGCCCAGCGAGGAGACUCCUCGGCGGGGGAAUUCACGCUCACCGAGUCCCCCGAAAGCCUGGUGCUUUUUUUUUUCUCCGCUCGUCUUUUUACUUUACAUCCCACCCAUUUGUCUCGUGCAUUUUAGUGUAUCACACAUCAACCUCAGUGAGGCUGUGGGUCCACGUUGGGAUGCGGGAGGAGAGUGGCAGUGGAAAUCAAAACAAACAUCAGGAUCGAGCGAUUAAGCGAAAGCGAGACUUUGGCGCUGCGACCUUUGACCUUACGACGAGCCAAGACUGACCUGCUGUCAGUCGAGCAGGUGACGGCUAUGCGGCGUUUCAACGAGCUUAAGGGACGGCUGCAUUGUGGCGGCACGCCACCUGCUCCACCUGCGCUCUUUCGCCACACAGGUGCCACUUCUUGCCUGCUGCAUGAUGGGAAAUCGCCAGCUCUUGAUGCUGACUUCAUGCAGUACACAUCUGUUUUCAAAUAAAGGAAUCUGGUGAUUGAAACGAGGGGGCGGGGAGAUUAGCGACGGAGUCGGGCAGCCAAUGUGGCGAGUUGAGGCGGCCUAAAGAGGAUUUGGCAUCGGAACAAAGCAACGGCGGAAAAGGGAACGGAAAAACGGGCCUUCCAGUGUCGCUAAAUCCCCUUGACCAGACUUUGGACGGAUCUAUUUUCAGAAGCAAAGGUCAAGCUCAUUGUCGUCACGGUGACGAGGAGAUCUUCAUUGCCACAGAAAUAAGAAGAGGAAGAAGAAGAAGAAAAAAAAUGGAGCAACUGCUUCAUCUUCUUGUUUUGGUCUCAUGAACUUCUACAUGCACACUCAGUAGACUUGAUUUACUUUAAAUGGGCCAUAAAAAUGUAUGCGCUGGUCCGGAUCUCACAGGAAAACGACAUGAACUACCACCUGAAGUCAUUAGAAUUGCAUGUGACUGUUGACAAAAAAAAACAGACAUUGGUGGAAUACAUUUUUUAAA